GCGGAGUCUGCGUGCCAACUGCCUUCGGCCUGCGGCUGUAAAUGGGACUCGUGCCGUCGUGCCAUGGAUCCUAUUUUGAGGGUCAUGGGCCCGGGGUGCUUCCAGUUCUCGGAUAAAUCCCCGGGUGUAUGGCUGGCGUUGGAGAGGUACCUCCGUGUGAGUACCCGGCCCAGAAGAAGGGCAUGCGGCAGAGACUGCAACAUUCUCCAUGUGCAUGGCUGGGUGUGUUAGUUCGGUUGGGCUGUUUGCUGAUAGGAAUUCCGCCUGGGGCUGUGUGGUGUAAGUGAUAGGCUGCUGUGUUUGCUCUGCCCGGGCUGCAAUCUGGCCCCAGAACGUUGCAC